UUCGACCUCAAAUUCAGGUAGGACUACCCGCUGAACUUAAGCAUAUCAAUAAGCGGAGGAAAAGAAACCAAUCAGGGAUUGCCUUAGUAGCGGCGAGUGAAGCGGCAAAAGCUCAAAUUUGAAAUCUGGCACUUUCAGUGUCCGAGAUUGUAAUUUGAAGAAGGUAUCUUUGGGUCUGGCUCUUGUCUAUGUUUC
rnacentral:rRNA from 1 species